rnacentral:rRNA from 1 species
AUUGAACGCUGGCGGCAGGCUUAACACAUGCAAGUCGAGCGAGCGGCGGACGGGUGAGUAAUGUGUGGGAAUCUGCCUGGUGGAGGGGGAUCACUUGUGGACACUGUCGCUAAUACCGCAAACCAUCAGAUGCCCCGAGAUGGGAUUAGCUAGUAGGUGGGGUAAUGGCUCCCCUAGGCGGCGAUCCCUAGCUGGUCUGAGAGGAUGACCAGCCACACUGGAACUGAGACACGGUCCAGACUCCUACGGGAGGCAGCAGUGGGGAAUAUUGCACAAUGGGCGCAAGCCUGAUGCAGCCAUGCCGCGUGUGUGAAGAAGGCCUUCGGGUUGUAAAGCACUUUCAGCGAGGAGGCGUUACUCGCAGAAGAAGCACCGGCUAACUCCGUGCCAGCAGCCGCGGUAAUAC